GGAAGCACAAGAAGAGGGGCCCGUGCCGGGCGACGAACCCUAUCGACAAGUGCUGGCGCUGCCGCAGAGACUGGGCGACGGACCGGCAGCGCCUGGCCCGUUGCGCCAGAGGCUUCGGGCACGCGACCACCGGCGGCCUCGGCGGCAAGAUCUACGUGGUGACCGACCCCACCGACCUCGACGUGGUGAACCCGCGCCCCGGCACGCUGCGCUGGGGCGUCAUCCAGCCCGGCCCGCUGUGGAUCAUCUUCGCGCGGUCCAUGAUCAUCCAGCUCUCGCAGGAGCUGCUCAUGAGCAGCGACAAGACCAUCGACGGGCGCGGCGCGCAGGUGCACAUCGCCAACGGCGCCGGGAUCACGGUGCAGCUGGCGCAAAACGUCAUCAUCCACAACCUGCACGUGCACGACGUCAAGCACACCAUGGGCGGCCUCAUGCGCGACUCCCCCACGCACAUCGGCUCCCGCACCAGGGCCGACGGCGACGGCAUCUCCCUCUUCUCCGCCACCAACGUCUGGAUCGACCACAUCUCCAUGUCCAACUGCGAGGACGGCCUCAUCGACGUCGUGCAGAGCUCCACGGGGAUCACCAUCUCCAACUGCCACUUCACCAACCACAACGACGUCAUGCUCUUCGGCGCCAGCGACUCCUGGCCGCAGGACCAGAUCAUGCAGAUCACCGUCGCCUUCAACCACUUCGGCAGGGGCCUGGUGCAGCGGAUGCCAAGGUGCCGCUGGGGCUUCUUCCACGUUGUCAACAACGACUACACGCACUGGCUCAUGUACGCCAUUGGCGGCGGCGACGCGCCAACCAUCAUCAGCCAGGGCAACCGCUACAUAGCACCACCAAACAUCGCCGCCAAAGUGGUAAAGAUCUUCUUCUCUUUCUUUCUUUCUUUCUGAUGAAGCCAUGCCAUGCCAUGCCAUCCCACCCCCUGCCGUUCGAGCAGAUCACCAAGCACUACGCGGAAGAAGGCGUGUGGAAGAACUGGGUGUGGCACACGGAGGACGACCUGUUCAUGAACGGCGCCAUCUUCAAUCCGUCCGGCGGCGCCCCCAAGCAGGUCGACACCAACGAGUGGGUCAAGCCCAAGCCAGGAACCUACGUUACAAGGCUCACCCGCUUCUCCGGCACACUGUCCUGCUGCACGGGCAAGCCGUGCUGAAGGCCGGCCGGUGGGCGUCAGAGGCUGCUUCUUCUAGCUCAUGGCCUGGCCAUGCCAGGUCGCGAUGGCUGCGUUUCAUUUCAUG
rnacentral:lncRNA from 1 species